rnacentral:lncRNA from 1 species
AAUUGUUUCUAAAAUAGUGUUCAACUUAUGCUGUAAUUAAUUUGAAACAGAUGCAUCUUAUACCUUAUUUAUGUUUUGUAGCCAAAAUGAGAAGAGGAUUUAAUUUUAACUCUGUCUUUUCUAUAGAGAAAUUGUUUUAAAUCAGCCCAAUGAACCCAUAUAUAUAUCAGACAUCAUGUUAAGUUUUGGGAACAUGGAUGGAAUGGAAGAAAUUCUUGCUGAGCCUAAAACACAACUGGACUUGUUUGGUUGAACCAGAAAGGGACUAACUGUGCUGAUUGGUAUGGUCUCUUCUGUUACAGGGACCUCAGGGAGAGAACCUAAAAAGAGUGAGGAUCUAAGAGAAAUUGAAGAUAACAAGAAAGGAAAGGCAGAAAGAGGAAAGUGUUAACCAUCCGUAGCAUUGCCGUUACCCUUUAAUAGCUGCUGUGCAUGUAUGAAUUGCAGCGGGCUCUUGAGCCUGCAAGGUGAAUUCUACAUUCUGUCUACAGUACACCAGCAUUGCUAACAGACCUGUUUGUAUUAUCCAUAAAGUUGGCAGAGAAUUUCCCCAGAGCACAUUUACAGCUAGUAAAAGAGAAUCCACAGUCUCUUUUAUUCCCAAGAAAAAGUACCAUGUAUUUGCGUUUAUUUUUCAGUGAAGUAAAUGUUAAUGUGAAGAUGAUUUGGAAUGUCAUGUUUACACAUAAACUUACAUGUUGAAUUAUUUUUUUCUGCAGAAGGUGGAAUUUAACUUGUGACCAAAAAAAAAAAAAAAAAAAUAGUCCUUUGGCUUUAAUUUCUGCUGAAGUUGAAAAGUAAUCCAAAGGGCAAAAGUAAAGUAAGAAAAGUGUGAAUUCUGGAAAAAGUUUCCUGAGAUUUUUCCAUUGUUUUAACACAUGGUCACAAGAUAGCGUGGACUUUCCAUGGUUGGAGGACGUGGAUGUACAGAACCAAAGGCUCCAUCAUUCUCUUGGCUGACGUUGAUCUGGAAGUGGGCUGUCACACCUGGGAUGUGAUGUGUCUUCUGUUCAGUGAACUUGCCCUUGAUCUGAAGAUUUUGUUUCGGGAAUAG